ACGUGAUCUGAGUUCAGACCGGAGUAAUCCAGGUCAGUUUCUAUCUAUAAGAAGUCUUCUCUAGUACGAAAGGACCGAAAAGACAUAGCCAAUACACCAACAAGCUAUCCUCACCAACUUAUGACACAAACUUAAUAAAUAACUAGUUCAAUAUAUAAGCCUUAGAAAAAGGCA
rnacentral:rRNA from 1 species